rnacentral:tRNA from 1 species
GGGGUUGUAGCUCAGCCUGGUUAGAGCGCUUCCCUGUCAAGGAAGAGGUCGCGGGUUCGAGUCCCGUCAGCCCCG